rnacentral:lncRNA from 1 species
GGGUUGGCUCGGGGUUGGGCUGGGGCAAGGGCCAUAGGGCCGACUGGGACAGGGUUUGCGGGGCCGGCUCAGGGUCGGGCCAAUGCAAGGAUGGGGCCAACGGUGUUGGACUGACCAUGGGACAUUAGAGAGAUGGGAGAAAAGGGGAGUUGGGGGGUAAGGGCACCGACGAGAGGAGGAUGAGGGGUCGGAGCAGGAGAGAAUGAGCAGGUGAGCGAAAAAAUUUUCCCCUAUGGUGGUUUAUA